rnacentral:pre_miRNA from 14 species
CUUUAAAACCAGUGUGGAAUUAAAAGACCCCCAAAGCGGGGAGACCCUCACUCAAGUCUCGGGAUGACGCGACCCCCCAAGAACUCACACAAGACC